GACGAACGCUGGCGGCGUGCUUAACACAUGCAAGUCGAACGGAAAGGCCCUGCUUUUGUGGGGUGCUCGAGUGGCGAACGGGUGAGUAACACGUGAGUAACCUGCCCUUGACUUUGGGAUAACUUCAGGAAACUGGGGCUAAUACCGGAUAGGAGCUCCUGCUGCAUGGUGGGGGUUGGAAAGUUUCGGCGGUUGGGGAUGGACUCGCGGCUUAUCAGCUUGUUGGUGGGGUAGUGGCUUACCAAGGCUUUGACGGGUAGCCGGCCUGAGAGGGUGAACGGCCACAUUGGGACUGAGAUACGGCGCAGACUCCUACGGGAGGCAGCAGUGGGGAAUAUUGCACAAUGGGCGGAAGCCUGAUGCAGCAACGCCGCGUGCGGGAUGACGGCCUUCGGGUUGUAAACCGCUUUCGCCUGUGACGAAGCGUGAGUGACGGUAAUGGGUAAAGAAGCACCGGCUAACUACGUG
rnacentral:rRNA from 1 species